rnacentral:rRNA from 1 species
AGGCUGCAGUGGGGAAUAUUGCACAAUGGGCGCAAGCCUGAUGCAGCAACGCCGCGUGAGGGACGAAGGCCUUCGGGUUGUAAACCUCUUUUAGUAGGGAAGAAGCGAAAGUGACGGUACCUGCAGAAAAAGCACCGGCUAACUACGUGCCAGCAGCCGCGGUAAUACGUAGGGUGCAAGCGUUAUCCGGAAUUAUUGGGCGUAAAGAGCUCGUAGGCGGUUUGUCGCGUCUGCUGUGAAAACUGGAGGCUCAACCUCCAGCCUGCAGUGGGUACGGGCAGA